rnacentral:lncRNA from 1 species
UAUCUUUUAAGGUUGAUUUUAUUAUAAUAUUUUGUAGUUGUUUGUUUUAGUCUUAGUAGUUCUUGCAUAUUUUUAUUAAGAAAUUCUAUAUAUUUUAUAUCUUUAUUUUCCAUGUAUUUGUCUAUAUUUAUUUUUAUCUGUUUUUCUAGUAAUUGUAUGUUUUUCAUAUCUUUUUCUAAAAAUUUUAUGUAAUUUGUCAUGAUAGGUAUUUGUAAGAGUAGUUAGGUAGGUAUGGUAUAUAAUUUACUCUAGUCAUGUAAUAUUCACCAAAUGCUUUUUCUAAAUAUGACUUUUCUUAUAUCUGCUACUUUUAUAUCUUUAAGUGCAUACAAAAUAAGUAUUUUAAAUUUAU